rfam:Gossypium arboreum cultivar AKA8401 contig_67837_1, whole genome shotgun sequence.
AAACCAUAGUGAGGGCACCUUCUUAAUAGGUUCUUGUAUCUCUCCCAUGCAUCAUAAAGUGUUUCUAAAUCCAUCUACACAAAAGAAGAAAUAUCAUUCCUUAAUUU